rnacentral:ncRNA from 1 species
GUAAAACCGUUGAGAAAGAGAAGUAGGCAAUUGGAAUUCAUAACAGAGAGCCCUUAUUGGUGGAAAAGGGUAUGGAUACAUCUGCUGAAUGGACUUUUGAGGGCAACCCGAAGUAGAGUAGGCGUUGACGGCGACCAUAGCCGUUACCAGUAUGGCAUAUAUGUUGGUAUAUGAUAAAGUGGACUUUUGUCAAAUUGAGUGGUACCGCGGAUAAUAUUCGUCUCAAGU